UACGAAGGGGGCUAGCGUUGCUCGGAAUGACUGGGCGUAAAGGGCGCGUAGGCGGACGGCUUUGUCGGGCGUGAAAUUCCAGGGCUUAACCUUGGGGCUGCGUUCGAGACGGGUUGUCUAGAGUUCGGUAGGGGAGACUGGAAUUCCUGGUGUAGCGGUGAAAUGCGCAGAUAUCAGGAGGAACACCGGUGGCGAAGGCGGGUCUCUGGGCCGAUACUGACGCUGAGGAGCGAAAGCGUGGGGAGCGAACAGG
rnacentral:rRNA from 1 species